CCCCGUCCUGACGAAAAAGGGUCAUUGCGUUCUUCUGACACAAUUGGCCGAGACGCGACCAAUCAGAGAGGAGCAGUGUUUUUACAGCGGCUGGCAAUUCAUUUGAUUCAGGAUAUCGUCAGUCGUCAGUUGUGUAGUCCAGAUCUAGAUUCUAGCUUCACUGGUCGCCAUUGUUCAAGUUCAACGUGUUUGCUGGACAAGUCGUUGGGUCUCUUUUCAAGAUGAUUUUUGCUUCCAAAACAUUGCUGCUUGUUCUGGCUCUCGGGCUGGUUUUCGUCGCCUUGUCGGAGGAAGCCAGGAUAGGAGACAAGAGUAGAGUCUUUGGAAACUGCUGGAGCACAUGGGGCAGAUGUUCAAAAUGGGGCUCUCCUGCCACUGGCAUUCUUGGGAAAACUUGCAAUGACCGCUGCAAAGAGCUGGGUAAAAGCAGAGGAAGCUGUGUGCGCUCUCGCUCAAUUUGCCCAAUUAUCCACAAGGCUUACCAAUGCCACUGCUACUAGGAAAGAUUUACAGGAGCCUGUACGUCCAAGAAUAUCUACAUCGUCAGGACCACCACGCCGAGGCAAUUGGUGCAAACAUAUUGAUAUGAUCUGAUCUACACUUUCCAGGAACCCGAAUUCAAAAUUUUGAAGUCUAAUUUUAUUAAACAAGAGGAUAACGCGAUUUCGAAAAUAAAGAAAAAAUAAUUGUGAAGUUUCACGUAC